UACAGAGGGUGCGAGCGUUGUCCGGAAUUACUGGGCGUAAAGAGCUCGUAGGCGGUGUGUCGCGUCGGCCGUGAAAACCUGCAGCUUAACUGUGGGCUUGCGGUCGAUACGGGCAUCACUGGAGUUCGGCAGGGGAGACUGGAAUUCCUGGUGUAGCGGUGAAAUGCGCAGAUAUCAGGAGGAACACCGGUGGCGAAGGCGGUUCUCUGGGCAUGUCCUGA
rnacentral:rRNA from 1 species